UACGGAGGGAGCUAGCGUUGUUCGGAAUUACUGGGCGUAAAGCGCGCGUAGGCGGCUUUGUAAGUUAGAGGUGAAAGCCCGGAGCUCAACUCCGGAACUGCCUUUAAAACUGCAUCGCUUGAAUCCAGGAGAGGUGAGUGGAAUUCCGAGUGUAGAGGUGAAAUUCGUAGAUAUUCGGAAGAACACCAGUGGCGAAGGCGGCUCACUGGACUGGUAUUGACGCUGAGGAGCGAAAGCGUGGGGAGCGAACAGG
rnacentral:rRNA from 1 species